GGAAGAAGUGAGCGGGAGGAGAGGGAUGGGGAAGAGGCGAGCGGGAGCAGGAAGGAACGGGAGGAGAGGGAUGGGGAAGAAGCGAGCAGGAGAAGGAAGCGAGCGGGAGGAGGAGAGGGAGAAGAAGUGAGCGGGAGGAGAGGGAUGGGGAAGAAGCGAGCAGGAGAAGGAAG